CGAGGAAGUCGGCGCUACAGAGCAGCCACAGGCGCGAGCCCCAAAGCUUGCUCCUGCCACCAGUUCUUCGGAGAGACUUGGAUCAGGCGGUGUUUGCAACAGAGAGAGAAAACCCGCUCUCCUCUGCGGAGGGAAGGAAUCCCAAACUCUUCCUAAGGUGGUCUGAGCCUGAAAAGCAAACCUAUGAAUUCGUGGAUAGUUUUGGCACCGAUGCACCAUUUUCAAGUGUCCCCCACACCACAUCACGGCAGAAUUUUGGUCUCCUGACUAUACCAUCCAUCUGCUCUCUAUGGAAAAGAAGUUGGAUUCUCUCAAGGAAGAUUCUAUCACCUGCAGCGGAGCACAGCACCUGAGAGAAAGGAGUAGGCCUUGCCAGAUACUUCUCAGAACACAGGAAUGAAGACUCUCUGAUAUCCUGCUGUGUCAUCCAGCUGACUACACAGGACCAAUGGGCUA